CGGCGACUGUCUAACUUACAGCAAAGCACACAGCUCUCUUCCUUUCUGUCUAUACCCCCUUAUCUCGCCAAGUCACUUUAUGGGGCAGCAGCUUGCACGAUGGUGGAGAUGCCUUGAUAAAAAGGAGGUCUGAAAUUGAGUCUGGAGUCUGAGUCCGGAGAGCGAAGAGACCACAGAUUCAGCCUUACAGCCGAGAACUUGACUGCGGCUGCUGCCUUGACUCCUCUCCCUUCGCCCUCUUCUCAACAGCAAGUCCGUUCAGUGACAUCCUACAUGAAGCAUUCAGCCACCAAGAAGCUUUCAUCUGUGCAAAGUUAUGAGAUGCCGGCGGCCCUCAGCCAACAACAGAGCCAGGAAAUACCAGGAAGAUACCAGGAAAGCUUCUCCACUCUCCUUGCUGUGAAUUCACCUGGCCCGUUCAUCGUUCCAGAAACCAUGCAUGUCCUGUGUCUUGGGUGAGGUGGGUGGAUCGCACCCUUGAUUCACUGUCAUGGUCUGGCACAGAGUGACUGAAGUAUUACUAGAACACCUUUGUCACGGAUGCAUAUUGUACACUUUUACUCACCCUCACUAGUGUUAUGUCUCAGACUCAAUUCAGCUGAACCGCCACUGACUAAUCAUAGUUACUCAGCUGUUGAUUUAUAAUUAAUUGCUUAGUUGGAUGUUUUAUCUAAAGAAGUACACAACAUGUAUGCUUAGAAGGUGGAUUUAUAUCAGGGCUCUCCAUUUCCGGUUCUAGAGGGCCAGUCUGCAACGCAGUGUCCAGGUUUCCCAGCUCAAGCACACCUACUAAACCUGGCGAUUCGCUGGUGAGCUGAGUAACGUCUGUCUGAGCUGGGGAACCUGCAAACUGUGGUGCAGACUGGCCCUCUAGAACCAGAACUGGGGAACCUGCAAACUGUGCUGCAGACUGGCCCUCUAGAACCGGAACUGGGGAACCUUGACUUACAUGCUGAAGCAUUUCAGGUUAAGCACUUUGAUAGAUGGUUUUAUCACCCAAGCCAGGAACCUUUAGAUGAUCACUUGUUUAUAAUUGCAGUUCUUCUUCCGAGUGUAUUUUCUCAAGAGCUCCUGGGUUUUUAUGCUAAAUACAAAUGUUAUAUUAUUUAAUUAUUCACAAGAACAGUCUCCUAAGAUUUGAACAUGCAAUCUAUUUACAAGUACAUUAACAGAUGGAACUCUUGCUGGGCUAUACGUUCAUCAUUAUUAGAAUUCACUGACAAUUAAAACCACAGAGCUUUAUUUUGUCUGCAAUGUUAUUCAGCAAAACAUCAUGUCUGGGAUGACUUUACAAUCUAAGUAAAUUUACAGAACAGCCGCCGAAAUGAGCAGAGUCACUUCUGUGGUACUCAGGGUGCGGCUCGGUAGGCAUGUAAUAUAAAUUGUAGAUUUUCUUUGA